rnacentral:tRNA from 1 species
GCUUAAAUAGUUUAAGGAAAAUUUUAAUUUGUGGUAUUAAUGAUGUAUAAUGUACUUUAGGCU